ACACCUACCUAGAGGAGCCUGUUCUAUAAUCGAUAACCCACGCUAAACCUCUCCCACACUUGUACCCUCAGCCUAUAUACCUCCGUCGCCAGCCCGCCUGACAACAGACACCAAGCGAGUACAACAGCCUGACCCCUAACACGACAGGUCAAGGUGUAGCUAAUGUGUGGGCUGUAAUGGGCUACAUUUUUUAUACUAAAACAAACCCGAGUGCUAUGAAAACCGCACAAAAAGGUGGAUUUAGUAGUAAGCAAGGACUAGCACGCCAGUCUGAAACCUGCCCUGAGAUGCGUACACACCGCCCGUCACCCUCCUCAACAACACAAUAAACCAUAAUUAAUUAUACACGAGACACUAGAUGAGGCAAGUCGUAACAUGGUAAGCGUACUGGAAGGUGCGCUUGGAUAUUCCUGAUGGUAGCUUAAUCUAAAGCACUGAGCUUACAACUCAA
rnacentral:rRNA from 1 species